CUACGGGCGGCUGCAGUGAGGAAUAUUGCACAAUGGAGGAAACUCUGAUGCAGCAACGCCGCGUGGAGGAUGACGCAUUUCGGUGUGUAAACUCCUUUUAUAUGUCAAGAAAAUGACGGUAGCAUAUGAAUAAGCACCGGCUAACUCCGUGCCAGCAGCCGCGGUAAUACGGAGGGUGCAAGCGUUACUCGGAAUCACUGGGCGUAAAGGGCGCGUAGGCGGGAUAUCAAGUCAGGUGUGAAAUCCUACAGCUUAACUGUAGAACUGCACUUGAAACUGGUAACCUAGAGUAUGGGAGGGGGAGAUGGAAUUAGUGGUGUAGGGGUAAUAUCCGUAGAUAUCACUAGGAAUACCUAAAGCGAAGGCGAUCUCCUGGAACAUAACUGACGCUAAGGCGUGAAAGCGUGGGGAGCAAACAGGAUUAGAUACCCCUGUAGUC
rnacentral:rRNA from 1 species